CAGGAGCCAAUCUUGCUCUAUGCUCCCUGGGACCUAGUGUGCAGUGGCUGCAGACAGCAAGUAGCCUUCUCUGGCGUGUAUACAGACUGUGGCUCCUGGGCUGUAAUAUGGGACCUUAGAGACAGUC
rnacentral:snoRNA from 1 species